rnacentral:rRNA from 1 species
AGCCCGACUUCGCGGAGGGCGGUAUUUAUUAGAUAACAAGCCAAUAUUCCUCUGGUCUAUUGUGGUGACUCAUGAUAACUGAUCGAAUCGCAAAGCCUAUGGCUGCGAUAAAUCAUUCAAGUUUCUGCCCCAUCAGCUUUCGAUGGUAGUGUAUUGGACUACCAUGGCAUUUACGGGUAACGGAGGAUUAGGGUUCGAUUCCGGAGAGGGAGCCUGAGAAACGGCUACCACAUCUAAGGAAGGCAGCAGGCGCGUAAAUUACCCAAUCCUGACUCAGGGAGGUAGUG